rnacentral:tRNA from 1 species
GGAAGUGUGCCUGAACUAAAGGGUCACUUUGAUAGAGUGAAUCAUGAAUGUUAAAAUCAUUCCCCUUCCU